GAUGAACGCUGGCGGCGUGCCUAAUACAUGCAAGUCGAGCGAACAGAUAAGGAGCUUGCUCCUUUGACGUUAGCGGCGGACGGGUGAGUAACACGUGGGUAACCUACCUAUAAGACUGGGAUAACUUCGGGAAACCGGAGCUAAUACCGGAUAACAUUUGGAACCGCAUGGUUCUAAAGUGAAAGAUGGUUUUGCUAUCACUUAUAGUUGGACCCGCGCCGUAUUAGCUAGUUGGUAAGGUAACGGCUUACCAAGGCAACGAUACGUAGCCGACCUGAGAGGGUGAUCGGCCACACUGGAACUGAGACACGGUCCAGACUCCUACGGGAGGCAGCAGUAGGGAAUCUUCCGCAAUGGGCGAAAGCCUGACGGAGCAACGCCGCGUGAGUGAUGAAGGGUUUCGGCUCGUAAAACUCUGUUAUUAGGGAAGAACAAAUGUGUAAGUAACUGUGCACGUCUUGACGGUACCUAAUCAGAAAGCCACGGCUAACUACGUG
rnacentral:rRNA from 1 species